UACAGAGGUCUCAAGCGUUGUUCGGAUUCAUUGGGCGUAAAGGGUGCGUAGGCGGCGCGGUAAGUCGGGUGUGAAAUCUCGGGGCUUAACCUGGGGGCUGCAUUCGAUACGUGGUUGCUAGAGUGGGGAAGAGGGUCGUGGAAUUCCCAGUGUAGAGGUGAAAUUCGUAGAUAUUCGCAAGAACACCAGUGGCGAAGGCGGCUCACUGGCCCGAUACUGACGCUGAGGCACGAAAGCGUGGGGAGCAAACAGG
rnacentral:rRNA from 1 species